rnacentral:rRNA from 1 species
GACGAACGCUGGCGGCGUGCCUAAUACAUGCAAGUCGAGCGAAUGGAUUAAGAGCUUGCUCUUAUGAAGUUAGCGGCGGACGGGUGAGUAACACGUGGGUAACCUGCCCAUAAGACUGGGAUAACUCCGGGAAACCGGGGCUAAUACCGGAUAACAUCUUGAACCGCAUGGUUCGAAAUUGAAAGGCGGCUUCGGCUGUCACUUAUGGAUGGACCCGCGUCGCAUUAGCUAGUGGGUGAGGUAACGGCCCACAAAGGCAACGAUGCGUAGCCGACCCGAGAGGGCGAUCGGCCACACUGGGACUGAGACACGGCCCAGACUCCUACGGGAGGCAGCAGUAGGGAAUCUUCCGCAAUGGACGAAAGUCUGACGGAGCAACGCCGCGUGAGUGAUGAAGGCUUUCGGGUCGUAAAACUCUGUUGUUAGGGAAGAACAAGUGCUAGUUGAAUAAGCUGGCACCUUGACGGUACCUAACCAGAAAGCCACGGCUAACUACGUGCCAGCCGCCGCGGUAA